GGUUAAGCGACUAAGCGUACACGGUGGAUGCCCUGGCAGUCAGAGGCGAUGAAGGACGUGCUAAUCUGCGAUAAGCGUCGGUAAGGUGAUAUGAACCGUUAUAACCGGCGAUUUCCGAAUGGGGAAACCCAGUGUGAUUCGUCACACUAUCAUUAACUGAAUCCAUAGGUUAAUGAGGCGAACCGGGGGAACUGAAACAUCUAAGUACCCCGAGGAAAAGAAAUCAACCGAGAUUCCCCCAGUAGCGGCGAGCGAACGGGGAGGAGCCCAGAGCCUGAAUCAGUGUGUGUGUUAGUGGAAGCGUCUGGAAAGGCGCGCGAUACAGGGUGACAGCCCCGUACACAAAAAUGCACAUACUGUGAGCUCGAUGAGUAGGGCGGGACACGUGGUAUCCUGUCUGAAUAUGGGGGGACCAUCCUCCAAGGCUAAAUACUCCUGACUGACCGAUAGUGAACCAGUACCGUGAGGGAAAGGCGAAAAGAACCCCGGCGAGGGGAGUGAAAAAGAACCUGAAACCGUGUACGUACAAGCAGUGGGAGCACGCUUCGGCGUGUGACUGCGUACCUUUUGUAUAAUGGGUCAGCGACUUAUAUUCUGUAGCAAGGUUAACCGAAUAGGGGAGCCGAAGGGAAACCGAGUCUUAACUGGGCGUUAAGUUGCAGGGUAUAGACCCGAAACCCGGUGAUCUAGCCAUGGGCAGGUUGAAGGUUGGGUAACACUAACUGGAGGACCGAACCGACUAAUGUUGAAAAAUUAGCGGAUGACUUGUGGCUGGGGGUGAAAGGCCAAUCAAACCGGGAGAUAGCUGGUUCUCCCCGAAAGCUAUUUAGGUAGCGCCUCGUGAAUUCAUCUCCGGGGGUAGAGCACUGUUUCGGCAAGGGGGUCAUCCCGACUUACCAACCCGAUGCAAACUGCGAAUACCGGAGAAUGUUAUCACGGGAGACACACGGCGGGUGCUAACGUCCGUCGUGAAGAGGGAAACAACCCAGACCGCCAGCUAAGGUCCCAAAGUCAUGGUUAAGUGGGAAACGAUGUGGGAAGGCCCAGACAGCCAGGAUGUUGGCUUAGAAGCAGCCAUCAUUUAAAGAAAGCGUAAUAGCUCACUGGUCGAGUCGGCCUGCGCGGAAGAUGUAACGGGGCUAAACCAUGCACCGAAGCUGCGGCAGCGACACUAUGUGUUGUUGGGUAGGGGAGCGUUCUGUAAGCCUGUGAAGGUGUGCUGUGAGGCAUGCUGGAGGUAUCAGAAGUGCGAAUGCUGACAUAAGUAACGAUAAAGCGGGUGAAAAGCCCGCUCGCCGGAAGACCAAGGGUUCCUGUCCAACGUUAAUCGGGGCAGGGUGAGUCGACCCCUAAGGCGAGGCCGAAAGGCGUAGUCGAUGGGAAACAGGUUAAUAUUCCUGUACUUGGUGUUACUGCGAAGGGGGGACGGAGAAGGCUAUGUUGGCCGGGCGACGGUUGUCCCGGUUUAAGCGUGUAGGCUGGUUUUCCAGGCAAAUCCGGAAAAUCAAGGCUGAGGCGUGAUGACGAGGCACUACGGUGCUGAAGCAACAAAUGCCCUGCUUCCAGGAAAAGCCUCUAAGCAUCAGGUAACAUCAAAUCGUACCCCAAACCGACACAGGUGGUCAGGUAGAGAAUACCAAGGCGCUUGAGAGAACUCGGGUGAAGGAACUAGGCAAAAUGGUGCCGUAACUUCGGGAGAAGGCACGCUGAUAUGUAGGUGAAGCGACUUGCUCGUGGAGCUGAAAUCAGUCGAAGAUACCAGCUGGCUGCAACUGUUUAUUAAAAACACAGCACUGUGCAAACACGAAAGUGGACGUAUACGGUGUGACGCCUGCCCGGUGCCGGAAGGUUAAUUGAUGGGGUUAGCGGUAACGCGAAGCUCUUGAUCGAAGCCCCGGUAAACGGCGGCCGUAACUAUAACGGUCCUAAGGUAGCGAAAUUCCUUGUCGGGUAAGUUCCGACCUGCACGAAUGGCGUAAUGAUGGCCAGGCUGUCUCCACCCGAGACUCAGUGAAAUUGAACUCGCUGUGAAGAUGCAGUGUACCCGCGGCAAGACGGAAAGACCCCGUGAACCUUUACUAUAGCUUGACACUGAACAUUGAGCCUUGAUGUGUAGGAUAGGUGGGAGGCUUUGAAGUGUGGACGCCAGUCUGCAUGGAGCCGACCUUGAAAUACCACCCUUUAAUGUUUGAUGUUCUAACGUUGGCCCCUGAUCGGGGUUGCGGACAGUGUCUGGUGGGUAGUUUGACUGGGGCGGUCUCCUCCUAAAGAGUAACGGAGGAGCACGAAGGUUGGCUAAUCCUGGUCGGACAUCAGGAGGUUAGUGCAAUGGCAUAAGCCAGCUUGACUGCGAGCGUGACGGCGCGAGCAGGUGCGAAAGCAGGUCAUAGUGAUCCGGUGGUUCUGAAUGGAAGGGCCAUCGCUCAACGGAUAAAAGGUACUCCGGGGAUAACAGGCUGAUACCGCCCAAGAGUUCAUAUCGACGGCGGUGUUUGGCACCUCGAUGUCGGCUCAUCACAUCCUGGGGCUGAAGUAGGUCCCAAGGGUAUGGCUGUUCGCCAUUUAAAGUGGUACGCGAGCUGGGUUUAGAACGUCGUGAGACAGUUCGGUCCCUAUCUGCCGUGGGCGCUGGAGAACUGAGGGGGGCUGCUCCUAGUACGAGAGGACCGGAGUGGACGCAUCACUGGUGUUCGGGUUGUCAUGCCAAUGGCACUGCCCGGUAGCUAAAUGCGGAAGAGAUAAGUGCUGAAAGCAUCUAAGCACGAAACUUGCCCCGAGAUGAGUUCUCCCUGACUCCCUGAGAGUCCUGAAGGAACGUUGAAGACGACGACGUUGAUAGGCCGGGUGUGUAAGCGCAGCGAUGCGUUGAGCUAACCGGUACUAAUGAACCGUGAGGCUUAACCUU
rnacentral:rRNA from 1 species